GAAAUCUGAAAAAAUCUUUUUAUUUAUCGUCUUCUUCUUUCUGAAAGACCCAUCACCAUCUUCACCUUCUUUAAGAAAGAUGAAAAUGGAUAAUUCGUUCACAUUGGUUUGAAGUAGAAAGAUGAAAGCUUCAUGGAGGAUGAAUAUGGAUGCAAAGGGUUAAGGGUUUCCAGAUCCAAAAUAAUACGUAUUUAAUGUCGGUUUUAGUUUCUGGGUUUCGGUUUCUCCAUUAUUUUGAAGGUUUCGUUAAUUGGGGAAUGAUGAUGAAGAUGAUUCAGUUGAAGAAGACAAAGAUUUAAGGAAACAGUCUCGUUCUUGGAUUUCUUCAAAUUUACUGGGUUUCUUCAAUUAAAAAUCACGAACCCUAAAUUUAAAGCCACUGCCUCCAUUCCGUCAUGUUCACCAUGAUUUUGCCUUAUUAUUUUGGUUCCUUAAUUCUUGUGCGUCUUCUACUCUUGGUUAUAAUUUAGAUUUGCCUUAUUAUAAUGUCAAUUUGGAUUAUUGUAAUGAAUGUUUAUUGAGAGAAUCUAAAUCU